rnacentral:rRNA from 1 species
UACGUAGGGUGCGAGCGUUAAUCGGAAUUACUGGGCGUAAAGCGUGCGCAGGCGGUUUGAUGAGCCAGAGGGGAAAUCCCCGAGCUCAACUUGGGAACUGCGUUUGGAACUGUCAGACUAGAGUGCGUCAGAGGGGGGUGGAAUUCCGCGUGUAGCAGUGAAAUGCGUAGAGAUGCGGAGGAACACCGAUGGAGAAGGCAGCCCCCUGGGAUGACACUGACGCUCAUGCACGAAAGCGUGGGGAGCAAACAGG